rnacentral:rRNA from 1 species
GACGAACGCUGGCGGCGUGCUUAACACAUGCAAGUCGAACGGAAAGGCCCUGCUUUUGUGGGGUGCUCGAGUGGCGAACGGGUGAGUAACGCGUGAGUAACCUGCCCUUGACUUUGGGAUAACUUCAGGAAACUGGGGCUAAUACCGGAUAGGAGCUCCUGCUGCAUGGUGGGGGUUGGAAAGUUUCGGCGGUUGGGGAUGGACUCGCGGCUUAUCAGCUUGUUGGUGGGGUAGUGGCUUACCAAGGCUUUGACGGGUAGCCGGCCUGAGAGGGUGACCGGCCACAUUGGGACUGAGAUACGGCCCAGACUCCUACGGGAGGCAGCAGUGGGGAAUAUGGCACAAUGGGCGGAAGCCUGAUGCAGCAACGCCGCGUGCGGGAUGACGGCCUUCGGGUUGUAAACCGCUUUCGCCUGUGACGAAGCGUGAGUGACGGUAAUGGGUAAAGAAGCACCGGCUAACUACGU